rnacentral:miRNA from 1 species
UAAAUUUCUCGCCUCUCACAGU